ACAUACGACCAUAGGAAAUUGAGAAAUGUUUAUCCCGUUUCCAUCUAACCUACAUAGUAACCAAUUUUCCGGCGAAUUAGUAGUCGGGUGGGAAACCACUGGCGAAUCCUUGCUGUUGUAUGUU
rnacentral:rRNA from 1 species